rnacentral:rRNA from 1 species
AGUGAACGCUGGCGGUAGGCCUAACACAUGCAAGUCGAACGGCAGCACAGGAGAGCUUGCUCUCUGGGUGGCGAGUGGCGGACGGGUGAGGAAUACAUCGGAAUCUACUCUGUCGUGGGGGAUAACGUAGGGAAACUUACGCUAAUACCGCAUACGACCUACGGGUGAAAGCAGGGGAUCUUCGGACCUUGCGCGAUUGAACGAGCCGAUGUCGGAUUAGCUAGUUGGCGGGGUAAAGGCCCACCAAGGCGACGAUCCGUAGCUGGUCUGAGAGGAUGAUCAGCCACACUGGAACUGAGACACGGUCCAGACUCCUACGGGAGGCAGCAGUGGGGAAUAUUGGACAAUGGGCGCAAGCCUGAUCCAGCCAUACCGCGUGGGUGAAGAAGGCCUUCGGGUUGUGAAGCCCUUUUGUUGGGAAAGAAAUCCAGCUGGCUAAUACCCGGUUGGGAUGACGGUACCCAAAGAAUAAGCACCGGCUAACUUCGUGCCAGCCGCCGCGGUAA